CCGAAUUCUUCCCAACAGAGUUUGAUCCUGGCUCAGAACGAACGCUGGCGGCAUGCCUAACACUUGCCCGUCGAACGAAGGCUUCGGCCUUAGUGGCGCACGGGUGCGUAACGCGUGGGAAUCUGCCCUUUGCUACGGAAUAACUCGGGGAAACUCGUGCUAAUACCGUAUGAUGUCGCAAGACCAAAGAUUUAUCGGCAGGGGAUGAGCCCGCGUAGGAUUAGCUAGUUGGUGGGGUAAAGGCUCACCAAGGCGACGAUCCUUAGCUGGUCUGAGAGGAUGAUCAGCCACACUGGGACUGAGACACGGCCCAGACUCCUACGGGAGGCAGCAGUGGGGAAUAUUGGACAAUGGGCGCAAGCCUGAUCCAGCCAUGCCGCGUGAGUGAUGAAGGCCUUAGGGUUGUAAAGCUCUUUCGCCAGGGAAGAUAAUGACGGUACCUGGAUAAGAAGCCCCGGCUAACUUCGUGCCAGCAGCCGCGGUAAUACGAAGGGGGCUAGCGUUGUUCGGAAUUACUGGGCGUAAAGCGCACGUAGGCGGCAUUCCAAGUUGGAGGUGAAAAUCCCGGGCUUAACCUGGGAACUGCCUCCAAAACUGGGAAGCUCGAGUCC
rnacentral:rRNA from 1 species